AUUGAACGCUGGCGGCAUGCUUUACACAUGCAAGUCGAACGGUAACAGGCCUUCGGGUGCUGACGAGUGGCGAACGGGUGAGUAAUGCAUCGGAACGUACCCAGAGGUGGGGGAUAACGCAGCGAAAGCUGUGCUAAUACUGCAUGUGAUCUGAGGAUGAAAGCGGGGGACCGAGCAGCAAUGUUUGGCCUCGCGCCUUUGGAGCGGCCGAUGUCGGAUUAGCUAGUUGGUGGGGUAAAGGCCUACCAAGGCGACGAUCCGUAGCUGGUCUGAGAGGACGACCAGCCACACUGGGACUGAGACACGGCCCAGACUCCUACGGGAGGCAGCAGUGGGGAAUUUUGGACAAUGGGCGAAAGCCUGAUCCAGCAAUGCCGCGUGCGGGAAGAAGGCCUUCGGGUUGUAAAACGCUUUUGGCAGGAACGAAACGGUGUCCGCUAAUACCGGGCGCUAAUGACGGUACCUGCAGAAUAAGCACCGGCUAACUACGUG
rnacentral:rRNA from 1 species